AAUCAACGCUGGCGGCGUGCCUCAGACGUGCAAGUCGAACGAUUAAACUUCCCUUCGGGGAAGAUAUAAAGUGGCGCACGGGUGAGUAACACGUAGGUAAUGUACCUUUGGGUGGGGAAUAACUUAGGGAAACUUAAGCUAAUACCGCAUAAUGCAGCGGCUCCUUCGGGAGACAGUUGUUAAAGAUUUAUCGCCUAAAGAGCAGCCUGCGGCAGAUUAGCUAGUUGGUAAGGUAACGGCUUACCAAGGCUACGAUCUGUAUCCGACCUGAGAGGGUGGUCGGACACACUGACACUGAAUAACGGGUCAGACUCCUACGGGAGGCAGCAGUCGGGAAUUUUGGGCAAUGGGCGAAAGCCUGACCCAGCAACGCCGCGUGAAGGAUGAAGUCUUUCGGGAUGUAAACUUCGUAAGAAUAGGAAGAAUAAAUGACGGUACUAUUUGUAAGGUCCGGCUAACUACGUG
rnacentral:rRNA from 1 species